ACUUACAGCCAUACCACCCUGAACGUGCCUGGUCUCGACUGAUCUUAGAAACUAAGCAGGGUUGGGCCCGGUUAGUACUUGGAUGGAGUACCACCUGGAAUAUCAGUUGCUAUAGACU
rnacentral:rRNA from 1 species